UGCCAAAAUUGAAAGGUGACUUCGCAUUUUUCAACGAAGGAUUAUGGGUCAAGGGUGUCAGCAUACCACGAGAACUCUACGAGGUGGAGGAACAAAUUCUAAAUAAAAUUGAAGAGAACGCAAAAAUUAGUACGAGAUGCAUUGGUCACGAAAUAGGGAGUACCGAAAACCACCGUUUACGAAAGAGCAGCUACUACAUACAUGCCAAUUGUAUUGAAGUAACUUUAUUUUACAAAGCAAAGUUUAAAUUAUUAAUGCUGUAUUAUAUUCAGUUAAAAAUAACGCUUAAAUGUCUGGCUACAUGCGAUAAGAAAACUAACGUUGCCUGCACACCCACAUAUACGAUAGUUUUAUCAACAUCCUGUGGACUGUUUGAAGCAAAACGGUUAACAAAAGCCAUUUCAGUUUAAAACGUUGACCAGGGAUAUAACAAAUAAAUUUGGUGAUGUAUAUGAAAAAGGUGUGUGUAGUGAGUGCUACAUACAUAAAACACACAAGAUCAAGGUAGGCAAUGCAAAACGACAGAGGCACAGAGACCAAAAGGGGAGAUAGACACGAUCGAUGCCUGAAGACGACAAUAAUCGGAGACGACUGCGCAGGCGCGUCUGAAGGCGUAGGUGGCAACACUGAACUCUGAAGGCAUAGGUGACAACAGCUCCACCCGCCAAGCGCAUCGAAAGACGAGAGGAGGAUGAUGCAAUCGUCUGGAGAUGAAUACAGAAGGAGGAUGGAUGAUGUGCUUGUAGAGUACAGGAGGCUGGAUACAUGGGCGUGUACAACGUGGAGUGGAAUGCAUAUAGGAGUCAAGUAUAUGUACUAUUGUCUAUAAUUAGAGUUGUGCUCACUAUCAGUUAUCCUUAGUCAGGGUUAGGUAUGCUCACGAUCAGUUAUCCCGAGUUAAAAUAUGUUCUCCAUUCCAAGACAUUUAUUAAGUCCUUUUCCCAAGGAUAAUCAUAGUAAACUUUUAAGUAGUUCUUUAUUUCUUCGUCUUAAUUAUUAUUAAUUACAAAAAGACGCAAAGCUCCACGUUUUCAUUUGAUACACUUUGUUUUCUUCUUCAUUGGGGUAAUAAGUUAUAUACCCAACGGAAAAAAUCCUCGCAGUUCGUCUUGUUGCAGAUUAUCUCCAAGUGUAGAGUUCAGAGUACUAUAUUCUACGUUUCCAGACGAAUAUCGGAUACCAUGAACGUUUCGUUCUGUGUAUCGUACUUGCUUCUAAUUUGGUCUAGAUAAACUAGGCGGGGCAAGAUGGCGACGUGUUACAUGGCGACACGUGGAGUUUAGUUUUAUAUGUAGAAACAACAAUAAGGCGACUAGCACAAGUCGUCGGUUUUAGUGGAAUGUACCAUUAUUCGUAUGAUAUGUAGAAUUUAAUGUGUGGCGAGCCCUUAUUGUAACACAAACUAGCAGCAACAAGACAACUUGACAUAAUGAUAUCUUGAAGCACAAUGGCAAAUACAUUUUUCGUUACAUUAAUUUAUAGUGAUCUUAAGCCAUAAUACUUUUGAAUGAUUUUUGCGAUAGUCUUCAGUACUAAUGCAAUUGUAGCAACUGUUAUAAAGUAAAUAAGCCCAGAGAUUAUAUUCAUAUCUGUUUUCUCAGACAUCUCGAAGAGUGCGUCUGCGUAUACAUCUUCAUAAUCAGAGCAGUUUAAAAUAGGUAACAGUCUCUAGAUAUCGAAAUCUCCAAUCGACUUAUCUUGAAACGUUAUUCUCAACUUGUAGAAUUUAAAAUGUUCUGGAAUUUUUUAUGUAAAAACUUUCAUCUUCCCACCAUUAACUAUAGUAUGUCUCAUCUGAGUUAACUGUAUGUGGACCCGUAUCACUCUCGCUAACAUUUCUGUAGCACACAUACAUUUCGUGUACGUUGAGUAUAUCAUGCACGUACAACACAUUUUGUAGUAUUGCAGUUAAAAUUAUGAAAUUGGAAUGUAAAACGGCCAUCGUUGUUAAGCAACAGACGAAUGAGCUACACGAUGAUUUGUAAAGUCUUAAAACUGCUCUUUUUUGUUAUACCUGAAAAAUAGAGGGAGAGAGGAAAUAAAACAAACAAGGAUAAGCAAGCGUAUAUUAAGCAUAUUAAAAAUGAAUGUAACUUAUAAGGUAAUUGGUACAAUUCUUGUAGAUGUAGGUCCAUCCUUCGUUACAGAAAAUCGAUGUAGCUUCAUAAAUACAUCAUCCCACUUGUCUUGAAUCUGCAUUUUUUGAAACUGUUUAUUCAUUUUACACUGGUUGUCAUAUCGUACUAUAUCGGAUUUUAAUUGACGAUUUUUUUCAAGAUGUUUAACUAAUAGUGGUUCGAGGAUUUUGGAAGCCAUAUUAAUUCUUCCCAGUACCUACGUCAAACUACAGUAGACGCAAAAGUCUACGUUUUCAUUAGAUACACUUGAUUUUUAGAUUUGUCGAAAGUAACUGUUUUCUUCUUCAUUGGGGCAAUAAGUUGUAUACCCAACGGAAAAGAUCCUCGAAGUUCCUCUUGUUGCAUCUGACUGUUUUAUUUGGAUUCAUAUGAUAUGAACAACGGGGUACAUCUACUUGAAAAAGCGGUGGGGGGUUAUCCCACCAAUUAUUAAAUUUUUCAACGUUUACUUACAACACCUGAGGCUCCUAUUGCUCGCGUAAAACGAUAGAGAAUCAUCAUAGGAACACUUAAAAUAGAAACCUGCACUAAUUGUGUUAUGCUUUUGAUAUUUUUUGGUUGACGUAUGUUGUUGUUGAUCAGUGAAAGGUUCUAGCAUAGACUGAAAAUCGCAGUAUAAAACAAACGGUACUUUUUCCUUGUAUCAAUAGUUUUUGAAUGAUAAAGAUUUCUCCCCCGGGAAGGUAAUUUUACAUUUAUUAAUUUUAGAGCAAUCUUCAGUGUGACUAUCUAAUGCAGUUUCAGUACUAAAAUAAUUUAAGCAAAUAUCACAGAUAUAUUUAGCAUUCUUGUGUUUACUUAAUUGACUCGAAACUAACCGCGAUAAAUUUUUAAUCAAACAAAAAUGGUAUUUAAUUUCUACGCUUUCGCUGCUACUUUUUUCCUUACGUUCAUAAAAAUAAACAUUUUGAAUUAUUAAAAGAUUAACGUGUCUCUCAAGUUUAUUGUUGGUUAAACGAGCAGUUUCAACGUUAUAUUUAUUCUUCCCGGUUAAUUUUAAUUGAUAAACGUUAACCGAAAUGUUAUUAAGUUUCCCAAAUUUAGUAAUCUGCGAAAUUUGCAUUGGAAAAUCAAUUCCGUCUAAAUUCAGAAUAGUUGAGGGAUGAGGAUAUGAUGAUGUUCUAUUUGGAUUUUUAAUCUAUCAACUGAGUAAAGUGCUGAAACAAUAGACCAAGCGAAGCAGGCAUCAUCGUAAUUUUUUACGUUAACACAAGCGUGCUUUUUAGCAAUUACCUCGGGGAGCCUGAUAAAGGAAGAGACCCCGUGACCCAUUUCAAAUUUGUUAAUGUUAAUUUCUAAACUAACAAUUUUGUGUAACGCCCACCCACUGUCCCUUUCCUGGAACUCUUCUACUUUGUUUAAAAUUUUAUCCAUAACAUUUUCUUGAAACCAAACUUAGAUCUGUACUCAAAUCUAUUGCAGCAUUUUUUGUGUUAAAAUAUUUAAAAUCUGAAAUUGUUUCGUUUGAAUUAGGUUUAGCUUUAAUAAAUUCUCCACAAAAAGCAGCGUUAACUUUUAUGGUUGGAUGGUGGUUCAGAAUUCUGGAUAUUCUAUUUUUAAAUAGGAAAAAUGCGUCAUUCAAGAAAGCUUUAAUGUCUUUAUGUUUUAAAUUUAUAAUUAAACCAGAUCGUAUGCGACUUGAAAAUGCUGAAUUUACGUCCUCCCAGCGUAUUCGAUGACUACGCUUAUCUCUAUGUCCCGCCCCUGUAUGUUCUGAAUUUGAUUUUAAUAAAAUUUUGAUUCGUUUUAAGUGACCGAUAUUAGUUUCCAGUUUUCGCUUAGUUCCAAUUGAAUCAAACGUUUUAAGAGCCCGAAUAAUCAACCGUAUUUGACAACUUCUAAAACCUGGGUUAGUUUAGCAAUAAAAUUAUCGGUUUCCUGAACAAGAGAGUCCAUAAUUAACAAUUAAAUGUAAAAAUUAAAAGAGUGCAACUAAUGUAAAACACUUUCUAUUAGAAACACGAUACAAAAAAUAUUUGGGGGCACUUACAGUUUUUUUUUUUCUAUGUUGAUUCAGGCUGUAGCAAUGAUAGCUCCACUAUUUCAAAGUUUAUGAUGGGGUUUGGAUGACUGCACUGCUGCAGCCCCUUGAAUACCAAGCCGUACUUCCCAGGUGUAAAAUUUUCAAUAUUAGCUUCGAUUGCGUGAAGGCUUCUUUUUGGUAGGAAGACAGAGUUAUCCCCCAAGUCUACUAAAGCGCUCCGUCCAAACUUUGUGGUAACAAUUUUUAUGUCCCAAAUAUGUGCAGGUGUGCCAACAGGUAGGUCCUGCAGUUUAAUGUAUGGUUUUCUGCAGAUGGAAGAAACGUUGUUAAUUGCAUUAAGAUCCAUACUAUAACAAUAGGAAAGCUUGUAUAACUAAAAGCUUGUUAAAUGUAAAGAAUGUUAGGUAAACUAUUUAAUUGCGUUAAGAUCCAGAUUAUAACAAUACAAAAGCUUGUAAAAUGCAAAGAACUAUUUAAAUAUAUAUAU